AAAAAGUCUGUUGACAAGGUUCCUUCAACACUUAUUCAGCCACACCAUUGCAAACUAAAGGUCGUACACUCACAUGAUUUCUUUACCAUUCUCUCUUUUUCUAUUUACUUUUUGUUAAAAUUUGUUCUUGGUGAAUCAAUGGUAUACUUUUUUAAAACUUCAAUGAUAUGUUGUUUAAAUGAGCCUUUAGUUUUAAACCAAAUAUUGAGAGAGAGAGAAAAGAUAAGCAUGAAAAUCAUCUAUUUAAAUCACACCAUGAACCUGAUAUUUAUGAAUAGAAUUAAUAUUAUGAGACUAUUUUCUUUUUUUUUCUUUAGCAAAGAAAACUAA